GACGAACGCUGGCGGCGUGCCUAACACAUGCAAGUCGAACGGGGCAAUUUCUUCGGAGGUUGCUUAGUGGCGAACGGGUGAGUAACGCGUGAGAAACCUGCCUUUCAGUGGGGGACAACAGUUGGAAACGAUUGCUAAUACCACAUAAUGUUAUUUGGGGGCAUCCCUGAAUAACCAAAGCUUUAUGUGCUGAAAGAUGGUCUCGCGUCUGAUUAGCUAGAUGGCGGGGUAAUGGCUCACCAAGGCGACGAUCAGUAGCCGGUCUGAGGGGAUGAACGGCCACAUUGGGACUGAGAUACGGCCCAG
rnacentral:rRNA from 1 species